AUUCCUCAGUCAUUACAUAAGGCCCUGACUGAGCUGCAAACACACAGAAGAGUUUAGGUUUUGUGGCACGUACUUUUCAAGCCCCCCAUCGAAUCAUCCUGGAGGCGUCCCAGUGUAUUCAUUUAGCACAGCUGUGUAUCGUGCCGCCUGCCUGCAUCCAGCACACCCCUGGGUGCAGAGAAGCUCAGUCCCCUGCCAGUGCUUUGCUGGAUGUUCACGGAUGGGGGCACACGUAGCUUAAGGAGGAGGUUGGUGACAUGCCCUCCACCUGGGACAGGACAGGGAGAAGCGGACAGAGGGGGCACGGACAGCACAGAUAAAUUUCAGGAAUUCAGGGAUGUUACAAGAAAAUCAUUACCAGCUGAUUUUAGUAAAGGUCAGUGUCUUCUAUGUUUACCCUGGUAUAAAUAUAUACGUCAUUGCCACUCACUACUGAAAAGAGAAGUAUAACAAUGUUCUAAUGCUCUAAUUAAGAGAGUAAUUUUCUAGCAAUGCUUUAAACAGCUUCCUUACUUUUCUUUCUUUGUAGUCAGUUAAUAAUCGUGACAUUUUUCUUGGCUUUAACUGUGUCCCUGAAGGCAUGUUAAAGACCCCCUGUGAUUAAAAUAGUGGGAAUCAUGUUACUGAAGUGACAUUAACAGAGAUAUUUAUUAAAAUUUGGCCCCUGCUGUUUGUGGUUUCUCAAGAUUAUACUUCUUUAGCAAAUUUUAAAAUAGAAUUACAUGAUGCCUGACAACUAGAAACUAUGCUAUAGCCCAAAUGUUAAGUGAGAACUAGAGAAGUAAUUAUGGACUGUCAUAACACCUGGAAACAGAAGUGCUAGUAGAUUGUUUAAUGUUGCAUUUAACAGAUCAUUGGUUUUGUUGCUGAUGUAAAGCGCGUCUCUUGGCAUGCUGUGAUCGUACACAAAACGAUCACGUGGUACAAUAUGCUAUUGUAUGUUUGUUAGGUAUUUGCAGGGCUUAUCUGUUGUUCCUAAGACUCUGGUGGAAAUAUGACGCAACUUCCUUUGAGACUGCUCAUGUGAACGGCAUGUUCAAUAAAUACUCAAUGUGACAUGUAUCAGAAGAAAACAAAAUUGCUACUUGACUGCAACCAUUUUAUGCUUUCUCCUGAAUCAGCAGCUCCAUGUUUGUCUUGUAACUUACACAACAGUUCUGUUUUCACCUCUACUGUUUAUUUCCCUUUCAGGCAACUGCAAAAGCCAGAAAAUGGCCUUUGUGAUAAUGCCACUGAGGUUUAGAGCACUAAAGCAAUCUCAUUAUCAGUUUACAUCCCCCGUUAGAAAUCGGAGAUUGUUCAGCACAUCAAACAGUGGAGCGGGGGCAUGUAAUGUGCAGCCCAAGGGCCAGAUGAGACCUGCUGAGUCAUAUAAUGUGGGCUCCAGCUGCCCUCUUCCUGUAACUGAAGGAUGGGGACAAAAGAGCAGAACUGCAGGCUGGCGUUGCUAAUGAACUUGAACCACUAUACAUUAUUUUCCAUCUGCAUACCAAAUAUGGUUAUAUGCACUUAUAAUACAUGCCUACAGUUUAUAUGCAAAUUGGAUGUGGCCCUUGGGCUCUUGGUAAGUAACCUGUAUAACCUUCAGGUCCGUAGAAGGUAAGCCUCUUGCUAAUGCUGGAAUUGGUGCAUGGGGCUAGGGGCUGCCUUGCGGCGUGAGCCUGGGUUGCUCUUUGCUUAAAAGCAAUAGAGGAGGACUAAUAGAAACCACUUUUGUUCAUCUUCCACGCUAAACUCUUUGGUACACAGGCAAGAAGGGAGGGAAAGAACAUUCUGUGGUUCAGAUACUCGCUGUAUAAAUUCUCGCUCCCUCAAACCUGGGAUCUCAGCAGCCAUGUACAUGUAAAACCCCCACCAUAUCGGUGAGCCUCCUGAUGGAUCUGCAAAUGACAUUGCAUUGUCAAUUUUUUAUGCUGUGGAAAGAAUUUUAAUUAUUUUAAUUACUGUUUCAGAGUUACUGGGAAAUAAACUCAGUAUCUAUCAUUACUUCAUCCAACUGUGCAAAUGAAAUAUAUAAUUGAUAUAAAAUGUUUUUGUCAUACGCAGUUUGAACAAAGAUCUAUGAUAGUUUAAAAUUCAGUGGAUUCUUCUGUGGUAAAGUUCUAUUAAUGCAUUCAUUAACGAGAAAUUGCAUUACAAUGUCUGUGGGGCUUACUUCAGUGAAAGAAUGAUUUCUUUGUUGUUAAUUUCAUCUUGAUGUUACUCCCCUCUAUUUAGCUUCCCCAAAAUGACGUUUUUCUAAAAAUCAGCGCUAAUAUGGUAGUUAACCUUUCUCGGUGUUAUUAAUACUGAGAUACAGUCAUACAAAUAAUAAAAGCUUGAAACCCUCUAUUUUACCCACUGUUGCUAAAGUUCAUCACAACUUCAACUGUAUUCUUUAUUUCACAGAUCUUCCCUUUAAAAUAGAAAUAAAGACCUUGAAAUUACAGAUGAGGGUUGGCUGACUGACAUAUAUAAUGUGAAGAUUCUUUUUACAUGGAAAGAAGGCACAUACAGUGUGACCACCCUUCUGCAAAUUCUGGCUUUGCUUGUGGAAAGGAAGGUGUCUGUGCUGGGCCACUGACCUCUGGCAAAUUAUGGGUAACAGAUGCUAGAAGAUAUAUUUCUACAAUGUCGAACAUGAAGAAGGUUCAUCGACAUUGACUUGCAGCACCACUUCAAAAGGAGUGAUCUUGAGAUGCAGCAGUAGUACAGCCACCAAAUACAAGAGGACACAUUUUCAUUGUGUUUAGCAGUCGUAGAUGUCAUAGAAAGAGG